rnacentral:rRNA from 1 species
GACGAACGCUGGCGGCGUGCCUAAUACAUGCAAGUCGAGCGGACUUUCAAGAAGCUUGCUUUUUGAAAGUUAGCGGCGGACGGGUGAGUAACACGUGGGCAACCUGCCUGCAAGACGGGGAUAACUCCGGGAAACCGGGGCUAAUACCGGAUAAUAUCUUCCUUCGCAUGAAGGAAGGUUGAAAGGCGGCGCAAGCUGCCGCUUGCAGAUGGGCCCGCGGCGCAUUAGCUAGUUGGUGAGGUAACGGCUCACCAAGGCGACGAUGCGUAGCCGACCUGAGAGGGUGAUCGGCCACACUGGGACUGAGACGCGGCCCAGACUCCUACGGGAGGCAGCAGUAGGGAAUCUUCCGCAAUGGACGAAAGUCUGACGGAGCAACGCCGCGUGAGCGAAGAAGGUCUUCGGAUCGUAAAGCUCUGUUGUCAGGGAAGAACAAGUACCGUUCGAACAGGGCGGUACCUUGACGGUACCUGACCAGAAAGCCACGGCUAACUACGUG